GGGCGGCUAGCUCAGCCGGUUAGAGCAACCGGUUUACAUCCGGUAGGUCGCAGGUUCGAGUCCUGUGCUGCCCACCA
rnacentral:tRNA from 1 species